GGGGGUGUAGCUCAGUGGUAGAGCACAUGCUUUGCAUGUGUGAGGCCUCAGGUUCGAUCCCCGGCACCUCCA
rfam:Pongo abelii chromosome 6.